CGGGGUGCAGCAGGCGCGAAAACUUUACAAUGCCGGCAACGGCGAUAAGGGAACCUCGAGUGCCAGGUUACAAAUCUGGCUGUCGUGAUGCCUAAAAAGCAUUGCAUAGCAAGGGCCGGGCAAGACCGGUGCCAGCCGCCGCGGUAACACCGGCGGCUCGAGUGGUAACCGUUAUUAUUGGGUCUAAAGGGUCUGUAGCCGGCCGGGUAAGUCUCUUGGGAAAUCUGGCAGCUUAACUGUCAGGCUUUCAGGAGAUACUGCCUGGCUCGAGGCCGGGAGAGGUGAGAGGUACUUCAGGGGUAGGGGUGAAAUCUUGUAAUCCUUGAAGGACCACCAGUGGCGAAGGCGUCUCACCAGAACGGACCUGACGGCAAGGGACGAAAGCUAGGGGCACGAACCGGAUUAGAUACCCGGGUAGUCCUAGCCGUAAACGAUACUCGCUAGGUGUCGGCCACGGUGCGACCGUGGUCGGUGCCGUAGGGAAGCCGUGAAGCGAGCCACCUGGGAAGUACGGCCGCAAGGCUGAAACUUAAAGGAAUUGGCGGGGGAGCAC
rnacentral:rRNA from 1 species